GGACCUUAUUGACUAUGUAGACUAAUGUAGUAAUGUUCUUAUCUUAUCUUUCCCAAUUUGCAAGACAAGUCCUUAGGAAAAAUUAUUGUCUUUGUCAAAUAUGAUUUCAGUUACACAACACCUUCAAAUCUCACGAGUAUACAUGGUUCAAACCUUUUCGAACUUACGUCAACUUAGGAUAUCUCUACAAAUUUACGUCCAACAUUCUCGAACAUGGAAACCCUUACAAAUUUACGCCAUGAAACUGGGAAACCUUUACAAAUUUACACAUAAAAUCUGAAAAUUCUUACAAAUUUACGUCACAAAAUCUGGAAAUUUGGAAAUCCUUACAAAUUUUCUUACAAAUUUACGUCACAUAAUCUGGAAUUUGGAAAUCCUUACAAAUUUACGCCUUGAAACAGAGAAAUCUCAACAAAUUUACACCCUGAAAACUGUAAACCCUUUGAAAUUAUAUUUUACAAAUCGACUUCAAUUUCUCUAUCAAGAAAAAAUCAAACGAUGGAAUGAACCAAUGUUCAUUAAAGAAGGAUUUACUUCUCAAAUUACUAGAUUAUAGAAUAAGAAAUAGUUUAAACUACAAUGAGGAAAUAACCAAAAGAAUUCACAGAGAAAUCUCAAAACUAACAGAGAACAAAUGAAGAAUCAUAAGAUAACAUAUUUAACACAAAUCACAUGAAUGAUCCAUACAUGUUUGCUUUCAUUUCACAAGAUUCUUCACGACCUUUGAGCUCCAUAUGAUUUCCACUACUGAUCGCAACUUCUAUUUCCCACCCUCCACGCAUUCAUCACUUCUUAACCCUUCUUUUACUAUAUCAAAUUUACGCCAUGAAAUAGGGAGAUCCAUAUAUAUUUUUCUUUCUUGUGAAAAGAUUCUUCACUGCCUUUAAACUCCAGAUGAUCUCCACUGUUGAUCGUAACUUCUAUUCUCCACCCUCCACGUGUCCAUCACUUCUUAACCCUUCUUUUUCUAUAUCAAUUUACGGCAUGAAAUAAUGAGAUCCAUAUAUUUUUUUCUUUCUUUCACAAGAUUCUUCACUGCCUUUGAGCUCCAGAUGAUCUCCACUGUUGAUCGUAACUUCUAUUCUCCACCCUCCACGUGUCCAUCACCUCUUAACCCUUAUUUUUCUAUAUCAAUUUACGCCAUGAAAUAGGGAGAUCUAUAUGUUUUUUUUUCUUUCAUUCACAAGAUUCUUCACUGCCUUUGAGCUCCAUAUGAUCUCCACUGUUGAUCGUAACUUCUAUUCUCCACCCUCCACGUGUCCAUCACUUCUUAACCCUUAUUUUUCUAUAUCAAUUUACGCCAUGAAAUACGGAGAUCCAUAUACUUUUUUUUCUUUCACAAGAUUUUUCACUGCUUUUGAGCUACAGAUGAUCUCCACUGUUGAUCGUAACUUCUAUUCUCCACCCUCCACGUGUCCAUUACUUCUUAACCCUUAUUUUUCUAUAUCAAUUUACGCCAUGAAAUAGGGAGAUCCAUAUAUUUUUUCUUUCUUUCACAAGAUUCUUCACUGCCUUUGAGCUCCAUAUGAUCUCGACUAUUGAUCGUAACUUCUAUUCUCCACCCUCCACCCUCCACGUGUCCUUUACUUCUUAACCCUUAUUUUUCUAUAUCAAUUUACGCCAUGAAAUAGGGAGAUCCAUAUAUUUUUUUCUUUCUUUCACAAGAUUCUUCACUAUCUGUGAGCUCCAGAUGAUCUCCACUAUUAAUCGUAACUUCUAUUUUCCACCCUCCACGUGUCCAUCACUUCUUAACCCUUCUUUUUCUAUAUCAAUUUAUGCCAUGAAAUAAGGAGAUCCAUAUAUAUUUUUUCUUUUUUUCACAAAAUUCUUCACUGCAUUUGAGCUUUAGAUGAUCUCCACUGUUGAUCGUAACUUCUAU
rnacentral:lncRNA from 1 species